rnacentral:rRNA from 1 species
UCUUGAUUCUAUGGGUGGUGGUGCAUGGCCGUUCUUAGUUGGUGGAGUGAUCUGUCUGGUUAAUUUCGAUAACGAACGAGACCUUAGCCUGCUAACUAGGAUCGGGAACUUCUCGUUCCCGUAUCACUUCUUAGAGGGACUUUGCGUGUCUAACGCAAGGAAGCUUGAGGCAAUAACAGGUCUGUGAUGCCCUUAGAUGUUCUGGGCUGCACGCGCGCUACACUGAUGCACUCAACGAGUUCUUGACCUUGGCCGACAGGUCUGGGUAAGCUUCUGAGCAUGCAUCGUGAUGGGGCUAGAUUAUUGCAAUUAUUAAUCUUCAACGAGGAAUGCCUAGUAGGCGCAAGUCAGCAGCUUGCGCCGAUUGCGUCCCUGUCCCUUGUACACACCGCCCGUCGCUGCAACCGAUCGGAGGGUCCUGUGAA